rnacentral:rRNA from 1 species
AUACGGAGGGUGCAAGCGUUAAUCGGAACUACUGGGCGUAAAGCGCGCGUAGGCGGUUUGGAAAGUCGGAUGUGAAAGCCCCGGGCUCAACCUGGGAAUUGCAUUCGAUACUGCCAGACUAGAGUAUGGUAGAGGGCAGUGGAAUUCCGGGUGUAGCGGUGAAAUGCGUAGAUAUCCGGAGGAACACCAGUGGCGAAGGCGACUUCCUGGACCAAUACUGACGCUGAGGUGCGAAAGCGUGGGGAGCAAACAGGAUUAGAAACCCUAGUAGUCC